rnacentral:rRNA from 1 species
GAUGAACGCUGGCGGCGUGCCUAACACAUGCAAGUCGAACGGAGUCCAGCCUUUUAGCUUUUCGGUUCCAGGUGCUGAAGUCUGAGUGGCGUACGUGUGAGUAACAUGUUCUCAACCUGGCUCAUAUAUAGGGCUAACAGAGAGAAUUUUCUUCUCGUACCGCAUACGCACACACUGCCGCAUGGCAGAGGGUUAAUAGAGAAUCGCUAUGAGAUGUCCCCGCGUCUGAUUAGCCAGUUGGCAGGGUAAGCGCCUACCAAAGCGACGAUCAGUAGCCGAACAGAGAGGAUGAAAGGCGACACAGAGACUGAGACACGGCAGAAACGCCGAAGGGAAGAAGAAGUGGGGGAUAUUGAACAAUGGGGGGAGCGCGGAGGAAGAGAGGCCGCGUGAGGGAAGAAGUAUUUGGGUAUGUAAAGCUCAAUCAGCAGGGAAGAUAAUGACAGUACCGGAAUAAGAAGCCCCGGCUAACUACGUG